CCUGUCACUAGAUGCAUUGCAGGUAUGGCUGCUGUGUCAUAUAUGCCACCAGUAGGUGGCAGAGAGGAGGUCUGGGCUCUGAACAUCUGAAUAAUUAGUGAGCCUAACAUU
rnacentral:snoRNA from 1 species